GACUUGAUUUUGGAGACGAGCAAAGUCAUGAAUAAUUAAACUAUCUUCCUGCUCUGACUUAUUUUUCCUCAAGUUAAACAACAGUGAUCAAAAGAAUGAAAACCCGGCAUCGGACAUUUGUAACAUUUGACUUGUAAACCGUUUUGGUUCUUUUACUUUUUACAAUGAUAAUCUUACAUUACACGUCACAUAGAAGAUUUCGCCAAUGUAAUGUUUUGACCGCAAAAAGCACUGCACUAUGCAUAAAACCGGAAAAAACAACAGGAAUUAAAUGAACAACUCAUUUUGUUAUAUUAGUCAACCAAUGUCCAAUCAUCUUCCUUUUAGUGUUGAUAACCUGUAUUUUAAGUACAACACCACAAACCUGAAACGUCGUCUUUGGUCUUCAUUUGUAGAUUGACGUAAUCCUCAACUGAUUAAUCUAAGAUUGUUUUGUCGAAAUCCACCACAACGAUUAUGUACAUCCAUAAAAACCAUAAAGUGCAUGUAAUCUACGAUAGCCGUGAGUUAAUCUGAUGACUAUGUUUUUGAUCAACGACAACUAUGAUUAAAUCUGACAAACAUUAUGUAGUGCAUGAAUCAUAAUGCGCCACCGUUGCUCUCUUUGUUUACUACAAAACAAAUGAAAGGUUCAAGAUAACACGAAAUUCUCCAAAAUGUACGAAUGUUUAGACUGAGACCUUAUAAUCAAUUAUAUCAUAAAUUUUAUGGCGAAAACUUAUAAAUUCUUUGUAAUUUCGAUUUAUUGGCAAAAUUCUGUAAAAACAGUUAAUAACUUUUAAUAACAACUUUUUUAAAAUGUUCUCUACUUUGAACUAAUUUAUUCAAA